rnacentral:rRNA from 1 species
UGAAAGCCUGACGGAGCAAGACCGCGUGGGGGAUGAAGGCUCUUGGGUUGUAAACCCCUUUUCUCAGGGAAGAAGAACUGACGGUACCUGAGGAAUAAGCAUCGGCUAACUCCGUGCCAGCAGCCGCGGUAAGACGGAGGAUGCGAGCGUUAUCCGGAAUUAUUGGGCGUAAAGCGUUCGUAGGUGGCUGUUCAAGUCUGCCGUUAAAGACCGGGACUUAACUCCGGAAAAACUGUGGAAACUGGGGAACUUGAGUAUGGCAGGGGUAAGGGGAAUUCCUGGUGUCGCGGUGAAAUGCGUAGAUAUCAGGAAGAACACCGGUGGCGAAGGCGCCUUACUGGGCCAUUACUGACGCUGAUGGACGAAAGCU